rnacentral:rRNA from 1 species
CGAACGCUCUUGGCGGAGGUACCCGCGGCGCAUUAGCUAGUUGGUGGGGUAACGGCCUACCAAGGCGACGAUGCGUAGCCGACCUGAGAGGGUGAUCGGCCACAUUGGGACUGAGACACGGCCCAGACUCCUACGGGAGGCAGCAGUGGGGAAUAUUGCACAAUGGGGGAAACCCUGAUGCAGCAACGCCGCGUGAGUGAUGAAGGUUUUCGGAUCGUAAAGCUCUGUCUUUGGGGAAGAUAAUGACGGUA